CUUGAGCGGCCAUGCCAGAGAUCGACCUGAAGAUUAAAUGCGCUGCCUUCACGCACGUCCCACUGAUAACCUGCUCUGACGCUACAAUUAUUACACCAGCAAGGACAGAAAGAUGGAGAGACCCAAUAAAGGUCCCAUUCACAUUCCACGCAAGACAAGCUCGGCGAGGUGAAAAGCCGUGUAACGAGAGAGCGAACGGGGCAUUCAUAUUCAUUAUGAUCAGGCCUUCGGGAGGAUGUGUGACACAGAUGCCGUGCGUGCUUUAUGGGCGCACUUAAUAGCACGCCGGCAGCGGGGCCAUCCGCUGAAUAAAAGCCGCAGUAGUCGUCAGACCACUAUUGAUUCUCCCCCCGUGUCCUAUUGAUCGCUGACGUUUUCAUGUGGCACAGAGCCGCUAAUCUGCUGCGUAUCACAGAGACGCCCACAGUGCAGCCCAUUGACUCCACUAUCAAUAGCCUCAAAGCUGGAUAUCAUUAAAUCCUCAUCACUUUGUUUCCCUGCCGGCCUCACACCGGGGAGCACGGCUCGACCUCUCAAUAAACAGUGGCGCUGGCUUGUUUAUGGCUCCCUGACAUACACUUACUGCUUCUUUUAAAAAGGACGCCAUCUG